UGCUUCUUCCGUGUCCAGCUANGGUUAAGACACCGCCCUUUCACGGCGGUAACACGGGUUCGAAUCCCGUAGGGGUCA
rnacentral:tRNA from 1 species